AUGGCGUCGGCGCUGGAGGGCGAGGCGGCGGCGCGCGGGGAGCGGCGGYCGGAGCGGGAGGCGCCGCUGGCGCAGGCCAAAAUUACUUAUGCGAAGGAGCAGAAGCAAAAGGUGCUGAAGCGUCUGCGGGGUGAAGACUCAUGGAUGCUGCCUGAUGUGAACGAAUGUGCGGAACAASUGGAAAAGGAACAUUCUGUGCAAAAGAAAAAGAAAAAGGAUAAACAUUCAAGAAAAUCUAAGAAAGAAAAGAAGAAAAGCAAAAAACAAAAAUCUGAAAAGAAGGAUGACCUCCUUGAUAGUUCUUCAGAUUCUUCAGUUGAAUGGGUUGAGUCAAAUGCGUCGCAGUCAGACAAUACAGAAAAGACUUGGAAAGUCAGCGAGCAGUCAGACACUAGGGAAGAGCCUUCCCUACAGAGAGAAGAAUGGAUGACUUUAGACUUCAUGUCUUUGAAAACCACAUCAGCGGCAUCUGUCAAAACUGAAAAACAAAAGGAAAAAAUACUGGAAAGACAGAAAGCUCAAGAAAUUGAGCAGGCGAGGCUUUCUGAGAGAGAACUGAAUCCCUAUUGGAAAGAUGGUGGUACAGGUUUGCCACCAGAGGAAAGUGAAGCAGCUCCAGCUAAGAAAGUUACAGUGGUAGAAGAUGCUGGAUUGAGUUGGUUACAAAAAUCAUACAGAAGGAUGAAGGAACAGGCUGAGAGAGAGAAACGGAAUUUUGAGGAAGUUGUAGCUGAGAGAUAUGGGUCAAUGGAGAUAUUUCAGUCACGAUUAGAAGAAGCUGAAAAAGUUGCAUUCAAAAAAGAAAAUUAUAGACAAGGAAGGUGGAGGAAAUCUGACUACUCAGAAAGUCAAGACAGGAAAGAGCAGCGAAUGAAGGAGGCUCAAGAUGAAGGUGAUAUAAAUAAGAAUGUGKUCAGAGGAUACACUGGGGAGAAGUAUGGCAAGGGAUGGGCACAAGAAAACAGAGGCUGCAAACGAGAUAGAUCAAGAGAAGACCAAGGUCCUGGCCUCAGCAGUCCAGAUGCAGAGCUGAGAAGCCACAGCUCCAAAGCAGAAAAACUGUUUGAGGGAAAACAAAGUCGGGAAAAAAGUUCCUCCCUCAGCAACAUGAAACACAAAUUUUUAAAACCCUCUGAAGAUGAUUUAUCAUCGUAUAGUUUACAUAAGGACUGUGAGUCACAGCAGACGUCUUCAAAACUGUCGGUUCACAGCUCUUUGAGCAGCCGUUUCCAAAAACCUGGCGAGGAUCCUGCACUGUGGACCAGAACACACGCAAAAGGCAGCAGUGAGAAAGUCGGGUCCGAGCGACAGUCAGCAGGUGCUCUGGAACCACUCARGAAGAGUUGGGAUAGAUCCUCAGGCGAUGGCAAAGAACAAUCACAGCAGCAGGACCCAGGAAAUACCUCGGCGAAGAAAGACACAUUAUCAAGCAAUGAAACAUCGUGUGCUAGGCCUACGUCAAAGGAUGAGGUGUUUCACGUCCUUAGUGAAGAGGAGAUGAACAAACUAGGAGCCAGGAUUGUGAAAGCAGAACUCAUGGGAGACAUGGAAUUGGCUUCAAAACUWCAAGCAGAGCUUGAGAAUGCACGGAAAUUAAGGGAGAAUCACAAGCAGGUUCCAGCAAAGACUGGCAGAGCGGUCUCAAGCCUUCAGGAAGAUGAACCAGUGAUCCUUGUCAGAACAGAUCAAACUGGAAGGGCAUGGCCUGUGACAACAGCAGCUGAACCACUGGAGCCAAAAGGAGGGAGAAGAAAACGCCAGAUGGUCCCUACUCAUAUAGAUAAAGAAAGAGUCAGGUAUUUCCAAGACGAUGAUCGUAUGAGCCUGAAGGAUUUAGUCAAAAAUGAGAAGAUGAGAACAGCAGAGGAUCAAAAYGCACUUUUUAUGCGUAUGACAUCAAAGCUUAUGGAAAAAACUGACAGAGAGUAUUACACCUUGGAUGACAUGUUUGUUUCCAAAGCAGCGAAAGGAGAGCGUAGUGGGGAAGAGGAAGAAAGGCAAAGGAGGAGAGCAAUUCACGAGCACCAGCAGCUUGCUGCAGCCAUGGAAAAGUGUCCCUAUUGUUUUCAUAGCAAUGAGCUUUCUAAACAUCUUAUUAUUGCACUUGGCACCAAGGUUUACUUGUCUCUGCCAAGCGGUCAGUCCCUCACUGAAGGCCACUGCCUGAUAGCCCCUCUACAGCACCAUACGGCAGCCACUCUGCUGGAUGAAGACAUCUGGGAAGAAAUCCAGAUGUUCAGAAAGGCUUUAGUGAAGAUGUUUGAAGCUAUGGAACUGGACUGUGUCUUCCUAGAAACAAACAUGAGUAUGAAGAAACGGUAUCACAUGGUGUAUGAAUGCAUUCCUCUUCCCAGAGAAGUAGGAGAUAUGGCUCCAAUCUAUUUUAAGAAAGCUAUAAUGGAAUCUGAUGAAGAGUGGUCCAUGAACAAGAAGUUAAUUGAUCUUUCUUCAAAAGAUGUUCGGAAAUCUGUUCCUAAAGGAUUGCCAUACUUUUCAGUGGACUUUGGCCUUCAAGGAGGAUUUGCUCAUAUCAUUGAAGAUCAACACAAGUUCCCUCAUUAUUUUGGAAAGGAAGUCAUUGGUGGCAUGCUGGACUUGGAACCACGGCUCUGGAGAAAAGGAAUCAGGCAGAACUUUGAGGAUCAGAGGAAGAAAGUGUUGCAGUUUGCACAGUGGUGGAAACCAUAUGACUUUACCAAAAGUAAAGAAUGAAUACAUCCAGCUCUGGACUGGGUGAGGACCAGUUAGCAAGGACUCUAUAUAAGCCAUAUGCUAUUUUAAAAGAUAUUUUCUAUGUAAAGUAUAACACCAGUGUGUUAUGUAUUGCUAAAAAGUUUUUUAAAAACAGGAAUAUUCAUUAUUUGCUCAUUAUUCAUUUCUGGGUUCUGCAAAUCAGAUGACUAUGGCUUUUGUAUUUUUUUUUUACCUGAAUCAAAAGACCAGUGUCCAUUUGGUUAGUGGAAGUCUUAAAAUAAUGUUGUGCUUUUGGAUUUUUUUAUAAUCUUUGAAACAGAUGUUUUUUUUUUUUUAUUUAGCAUAGAAUCAAAGCUUACUACUACUGUGACAUUUUGUAGAUAAUGGUGUAAAUUUUAGGACUAUUUUAAUGUAUUGUUGCAGAAGGAAGCUGUUAUAGAAAAUCACUUUCUGCUUCUGAGUCCUUGUGGGUUUUUUUAAGUCAUUGUAGUAAUAUAAAACUUAAAAUAUGACAUGGUUGAUAAAUCUACUGGCMUCUGCACAAGAUUUGAUGUUGUUUUUUAUAUGUUUUUAAUAUAAAGUUGUAUUUUCAAACAGAGUUGUUGUACAAAGGAUGAUGAGACACUCGUGCACGUUUUUUUUAUGAAGUCUGUAGCUGAUGACAAGUAUCAGCUUUAACAAAGCUACGAAAGAGACUGUAGGAGAGAGUGAGAAGGGGCUCUCGUACCAGAGGCAGUCGCUUCCCUCAGGAACUGUGACACAGCAACGUCUCGUGCCUUGCAGGACUGGGAGAACAGGACCAGACCACAGACAAGGGCCCAGACGUACCCUCAAUGUCCUCCAGGUGCAUUGGGGAAGGCCUCCAAGCUUUUAGGCAAAAGACAAUGUUACAAGGAGAGGCUUCAGAAGGGCACACUGGAGCCCCUUAGAUUUUACAGGGGUUAAUGCACUGUACAGCAGUGUCAUGGUGAGCUGCCAGGU